UUUUUUUUUCUGGCGCUCUCCAUGGUGUUUACCACAAUCUCUACGGCCAAAGGCGUUGUUCAAUGCAGUUGCAGAGGCUUGAGAAGCUAUGAGCAUUUUGCAUUUGAAGUCUUCGAUGGUUCGGUGGCUUAGUCUUUGAUCUUCCAGAAUGGGAGUUUGAUUGUGCAGAAGUGGAGAUUUGGGAGCUGGCUUGAUGGGAUUGAUUAACGAGCCUGAACCUGACUCACUGUUGUCAAGCUAACACAUUCGGAUAUUCCCGAGGAAGACAGAUAUUGGAAUGCGAAUGUGGUGGAGAAUACAGAAAGAGGUUGGCGGGAUCUUAUUUUCCAGAGGGUACCAGGAUGAAGGUUUUAGGUUGUUUUGUAGAACAGUGCUGGUUAUGUAUGUAAAAGAGUGUCAUGAAUGUAGGUGAAGAUUCAAUUAAUGAAAUUAGGGUUGCAAACUUACGAGUUGAGCUUGGCGAAAUGCCGGGAGCUAUUAGUAUAGUAUGAGAUUUUGAGAGGUACAAAAGUGCUGGCCGACUGAAAAUAGAAUGGGAUCAUGACAUCUGAAACCGGUGUUACCUGCACUUUCUUUUACAGAAGUACAAGAAAUAGAAAGACCAUAAAACAUAAGCGUCAUACAAAUUUUUGGAUUAUUUCUGUCAUUCCAUCAAGUACAGGCCACGCUCCACAAGGGCUUGAGGUACACAGAAUGUCAAAAGUAGUUCCAAUUGAUCACGAUGAGCAUAUCCUAUUUUGCAAAGUAAAAAGAAAGCAUGCAUAUCCUACAUGAUGAGCAUAUCCUACUUGAUGAUAUCAGGUUAGAGUUGGGAUUAGGGACAUGAAAUCUGAAACCUAUUUUCAUGAAAUUUCUUUUGUUUCUGACAUGGUUUUUUGUUUACAUACACCUAUGUUCUUGGCUUGAAUUUCAUGAAAACAAAACCAUGUUCUUGCCUUGAAUUUCUUUUGGUUUAUUGUCAGCUUGGGAUGAUAACAGCGCCUAUGUUCUUAGGUUGAAUUGGUAACUUAUUGAUAUUUAUGGACUCUCAUGCCUUUGACUGACUCAUAUCA